rnacentral:rRNA from 1 species
GAAAAGAAACCAACAGGGAUUGCCUCAGUAACGGCGAGUGAAGCGGCAACAGCUCAAAUUUGAAAUCUGGCCUCUUCGGGGUCCGAGUUGUAAUUUGUAGAGGAUGUUUCGGGUACCGCCCCGGUUUAAAUUUCUUGGAACAGAAUGUCAAAGAGGGUGAGAAUCCCGUCUUGGACCGGCGGUAGGGCCUAUGUGAAACUCCUUCGACGAGUCGAGUUGUUUGGGAAUGCAGCUCAAAAUGGGUGGUAUAUUUCAUCUAAAGCUAAAUAUUGGCCAGAGACCGAUAGCGCACAAGUAGAGUGAUCGAAAGAUGAAAAGCACUUUGAAAAGAGAGUUAAACAGUACGUGAAAUUGUUGAAAGGGAAGCGCUUGCAAUCAGACUUGAGCGCGGCGGUUCCCCCUUCCUUUUGGCUGGGUUAUUCCGCCGUGUCCAGGCCAACAUCGGUUCUGGGGGUCGGUUAAAGGCUCUGGGAAUGUAUCUUCCUUCGGGUUGACUUAUAGCCCAGGGUGUCAUGCGACCUCCCGGGACCGAGGAACGCGCUUCGGCU